UCUACAGUUUAAUAAAAAGAAAAAUAGUUAUAAAAAGCACAUACAAAAGGGUAAAAACAAAAUGAAAUAUGAGGACUUUAAUUUUAUUCGUACACUUGGUAUUGGCUCCUUUGGGAGAGUGAUGCUUGCAAAGUACAAAAAUGAGGAUUGUCCACCAGUAGCUAUAAAGCGAUUUGAAAAAAGCAAGAUAAUAAGACAAAAGCAAGUAGAUCAUGUAUUUUCAGAACGGAAAAUAUUAAAUAAUAUAAACCAUCCUUUUUGUAACUCUAUAUGGGUCUUUCAAAGAUGACUCUUAUUUAUAUUUAGUUCUUGAAUUUGUAAUUGGGGGUGAAUUUUUUACUUUUCUCAGACGAAAUAAGAAGUUUCCGAAUGAUGUAGGAUGCUUUUACGCAGCACAAAUUGUUUUAAUAUUUGAAUACUUGCAAAGUUUAAAUAUUAUUUAUAGGUAAACUUUUUUUUUUAGUGUUUACGAAGAUGCAAUUGUGGAUGUUGUGUACUUGUGUAUGUAUAUAUUUGUAGGGUUGUUUAUUCGUGCAUGUUUAUCACUAGUUUGACAUAUGUUUUUUUUUUUUUUUUUUUUUUU
rnacentral:lncRNA from 1 species